UUCAGUUUAGUUAAAUCUGAGAUUCCCAACCACGGGUACUUGUACUCCAGGGAGUACUUCUGCUGUUGCCAGGGG